rnacentral:rRNA from 1 species
AUUGAACGCUGGCGGCAUGCCUUACACAUGCAAGUCGAACGGUAACGGGCCUUCGGGUGCCGACGAGUGGCGAACGGGUGAGUAAUGUAUCGGAACGUACCUUUCAGUGGGGGAUAACGUAGCGAAAGUUACGCUAAUACCGCAUAUUCUGUGAGCAGGAAAGCAGGGGAUCGCAAGACCUUGCGCUGAUUGAGCGGCCGAUAUCAGAUUAGCUAGUUGGUGAGGUAAAGGCUCACCAAGGCGACGAUCUGUAGCGGGUCUGAGAGGAUGAUCCGCCACGCUGGAACUGAGACACGGUCCAGACUCCUACGGGAGGCGGCAGUGGGGAAUUUUGGACAAUGGGGGCAACCCUGAUCCAGCCAUGCCGCGUGAGUGAAGAUGGCCUUCGGGUUGUAAAGCUCUUUCGGCCGGGAAGAAAUCGCACAGGCUAAUACCUUGUGUGGAUGACGGUACCGGAAUAAGAAGCACCGGCUAACUACGUGCCAGCCGCCGCCGUAAGAC